UAUCAUUUGGUCAGCAAGUCUACACCUCCCAGUGCUGGGGUCACGGGCACGUGCCACUGCACCCCGCUUUUUAUGUGGGUGCUGGGAAUCCAGAGUCAGAUCUUGGUGCUUCUGUGGCAAGCAUGUUACAGACUGAACCCAUGGGUGACCUUGAAGAUACAAGGCCUUCAACACUGUAGCGUGUUCCCACCUGAGUGGAUGAUCCCUGAUGUCGAAGCCUUGCUCUCAUCCAGGAGGAGACUUUGCUUAGCCACACGGAAAGGCAAGCUUCAGUGUUCCUGCCUGCCCUUAGGCCUAUUGAGUUAGGUAGGUUAUCUUUUGGAUCCAGAUUUUGCACCUUUAUAGAAGAGGGACUCUCCACCCCGGCAAACCUUCUAAAUGCAGGCAGCUUUCUCUGUCCCUCAUGGUGCACUUGCGUAAAUGAGAAGAAAAAAAAAAAA
rnacentral:lncRNA from 1 species